GUGUUGUAUGAAAGGAGAGACGGUUAGCACUCCCCUGGACAAGGAUGGAAUACACACAUAUAAUGGUCAUUGAGCACUGCUGUUUUGCUAACAGUAAAUGACCACAUUUUUUU